CCCUCCCCGCCCCUUCCGACACCAGCCCUCCGCUUCCCGCCACGCGGGAUUCAAAUAGAAAAUGCGGAGUCCUUGACUGGGGCGGGAGAAUGCACUUGACUUUGACAGUUAUAGGUAGGAGCGCACCAGGAUUAUCCAGGCAACAGAUGAAGUGACACAGACCAGAAUGAGAGCCGUGGAGGGUUGCCAAGCUUGGAAAAUAUGAAUAGGGGGCUGCCAGUGGCCAUCCUCCUACAGCAAGAAGUGAAGUCACCUCAGGAUGAAGCCAAGCACUCAGCAGACAGAUAUGGGGAGCAAGAAGGCCUGGGGGAAGUGAGUGCCACUUCUGGUCCCUUGACAGCCUGGUUUCUGCAGCUCAUCUUUCAACUGUGAGAGCCACUUUGGUGUCCUUCCCGUUCAACAGACUAAUAAACAGCCUCCCUGCCUUGACUUUUAACUGAUUGAGUCAUGAUUAAUACAAUGAGGACAGCUGCUGUGCUGGAAUCAAAUUAUAUUCUGUUUGUGCUAUAAUCCUCUUCUAAUGAUCAAUUAAUUCUUCCAACAACAUGAAAUGAGGUCCAUUUGGCAUGAAGUGGGCUUGGCAAAUCAGUAGAGGCCUCUAAAUAAUAACUGUUUCUUUUUUUUUCAUGGUCACAAAUCAUCCUGGAAAUAGACAUCAAGUUCAUCAGGGUGUAGUGUCUGGAAUACAUAUAUAUAUAUAUUUUCCUUUUAUGAAACUGAAGACAACAACUAUUCGUAUUUAGUCUUAUGUCAUCUUUUCCAACAUACUUUCUCAAAGAUCCAUAAGAAAGGCUUUGGGAUCAUAAACUAAAGCACUUUAAGUAUGCUGGAAUGUAACUCAUCUGAGUCUAAAGAUUUUUUAACCCCUUUAAGGCAACUUGGUGAUUUCUACCACUGCACCUACUUUAGCUUUUUUAUUUUUAAUUUUUUUUUUAGACUUUUUAUUUUGUAGAGCUGAUUAACAGUUAUCUUGGCUUUAAUUUCCUCUUACAGCCAUUUUCUUUAUUCUUUACAGCUUGAGGAUUCUUUUUUUUUUUUUUUUGAUAGAGAAAAUGCUAGCAAAAUAGACACUGGGUAUUUCUGUUUUUUUUUUUUUCAGUUGUCUGAUCACAUCAUAUCAUUUGGUCUCAAGCAAUGGGAUUCGCUUUCUUUUUCUUCUAGCUCUUAAUACUGAGCAUUAAAAUACCUCCUCCCCUAACAAAAAAUAAAAGCCCCUUUUGUUCUUAAACCUGACUGUAUUCCUGAAUCUCCCCUUUCACGUCUGUGGCCCUCUUUUGUAUUUUCCUUUGUUAUGAGUUCCUCCUCCAAACCCCUGACCUUUAACAUCCUGAUUUUAUUGGGUAUU